UACGAAGGGUGCAAGCGUUACUCGGAAUUACUGGGCGUAAAGGGUGCGUAGGCGGUUAGUUAAGUCUGUUGUGAAAUCCCCGGGCUCAACCUGGGAAUGGCAAUGGAUACUGGCUGGCUAGAGUGUGUCAGAGGAUGGUGGAAUUCCCGGUGUAGCAGUGAAAUGCGUAGAGAUCGGGAGGAACACCAGUGGCGAAGGCGGCCUUCUGGACCAAUACUGACGCUCAUGCACGAAAGCGUGGGGAGCAAACAGG
rnacentral:rRNA from 1 species